rnacentral:lncRNA from 1 species
GGCAUCAUCAUCAUCAUCGGCAUCAUCUUCUUCUUCUGAGAAGUCAAAUGUAUACUUGGGCCUCUCAGCUGCAGCUCUCCUAAGCAGAGAGUCUCUUGGAAUAAUCACAGGCUCACUCUCUUCUAAAUCACUUUCAGACUUGGAUUCAUCAUCUGACCAGGGGUUUCGUUUCUUCACUUUUUUUGCACUGGAUUUUGUAGAUGAUGGCGCUCUUCUUACUCUAGUACCAGGCUCCUUCUUCUCUCUCUUCAGUUUAGGGGUUUUAGUUCCUGAGGCUGCUGUAUUCACCGUGUCAUCCCCACCACCCUCGGCUUGCACACCACCAAAUUCCUCAUCAAAUUCCAUUUUUAUUGCUACAGAAUCAGCAUCACCCUUUUUCUUUUUCAGCAAUUUCCUACUGGCAUCAGCUUUCAUGGCAGAUGUAAUCUGUGGAACUAUUCUUCUACCAAAUGGUGAUGGCAUGGUCUCUUCCAACUGAAGUUUCUUCAUCUUGGGUUUACCAACUUUACCUUUGAUUGGUUUACCAACCAUACCAGCCAGAACAUCUUCUCUUUCCUGUGCUUCUACUUUUUCAAGCUCUUCAACAAAAGCUGCUAAGUCUUCUUUCCAGAGAUCUGAAGCAGAUUUCCUUUUAAGGUCAUUUAGUUCU